rnacentral:lncRNA from 1 species
GUCCUAAUGAAAAGACACACAAUUUUCGAACUGGAAAAAUAAAUAAUAAUGCAUAUCGCCACUGAAGCCGCAGUAACCUUGCUGUGUUUCUCUCUCAAAUAGAACAAGCUACAUUUCAAAGGACCUUUUCCUUCCAUGUGGAAGUAUUUCUUUGCUAGCUCCUGAGGAGCUGCCAGGAAGUACCAAAGCGUCGCAUGUUUAGAGUUUCAGAGGCAAAUUGCUUCUGCACACGUUGUCUUGAGUCAAUGGAUUCUGCUGUGUUCUCUCUCUCUACGUCAUGACUUCAUUAAUCUUUUUUUUUUUUAAUAUGAGACUUUCAUUUAUUGCUUCUAGAAAGCCAGGUGCAUUGCAGUGGAGCUCUUCGGCAGAAUCUAUGUUUCGUGUGGAUAUUUACUGUUUCAUUGUUGAGCCCCCGGAUGUGUUGGGCGCUGGCAGGCGGCUGCAGAGAGGAAGGGUGGCCUGCCCAGGGACCCGGGAGUCGUGGGUCCCAGGCCCACCUCUUCGGGGCCACCUUGAGCUGGGAGGAAGUCGGAUUUUCCAUGACACACACGGACUUAAAUCCUUCAGCGAAUGAGAAAUCCCCUGGGUCUUCAGAUUGCCAAGACUUUGCAGCUUGGAUAACAUCUUUGGAAAGGUUAAACGAGUCAAUCGUCUAAAGCUUUAGUCGGCACAGGCACGUGAUGCUCUGCCCUGCUGGAAAAGCAGGGGGAACACCGAGAUCUCCCCGCAAACCCUGUGCUUCCGCCGGCCUCUGGGCUCGCGGGGAAUCCCGCCGCUGCAGGGAAGGCACUUCCAUUAGGCGUUUCACUUCGUCCGAGGGAGGCCGGACGACCUCUGUCGGUAUGGCCGCGGCCUUCCAAGAAAUUCGAGCAAGAUCGGGAGGAGGAGACGAGCAGCAGGCCUGGAGACCUGUCGGCAGGGGGCGCGCCGGCCCCCAGCAGAGACAAAGGCCAGACGCGCACCGCGCGGACGGGGGUCGGCCCUCGGGGUCUGGGGGAGUCAGAGGGGGCGCAGCAGGGCAAGAGGAGGGUCCCCUGCCGCCCCCGCCCAGCCUACAGCCGCGCAGCGUGCUCGCCCUUCUUGGGAGAGAGGAGCGGGAGCGUUGCUAAGAUGGUUCCCAUUUUCUGCGUCGUCGCAGGACUCUGUCCCCGUGUCCACAGGCUGCUCUCCUCCCCGCACCGGCACCCGCGUGGGUUCAAACGGUGGCGGGCGGCCCCGGGCCCUCGGACCUCCCCCGGCCGGCGUUCUCAUCCUCCUCUGCCCCCGCCCCCGCCCGGCCCGGCUCCGCGCGGUGACCUCAUUCCCACCCCUCCGAGCGAGUGGGGUGAGCCCGUGGCCGAGGCCGGAGAGCGGAGCUUCCCGCUGCCCCCAGGAACGUGCAGCACGGGCGGGACGCGCAGGCUGUUCGGUUUUGUUGUAAGAAACACCGUGUAUUUUUUUCUAGCACAGGCCACACUCCACCACACUCGAGUACAGAAUAUUAAUUUUUUUUUUACUGCGCUCUCACUUGCCGUCAAGGCUUUCUUCCUCCUUAGCAUCAGGUAAGGACACAGCCAGGCACGGCAGGCACGGAGCCGCCGCCUCUGUCUUCGCCCAGAUCGCAGCAGCCCGCUGCCUCGAUGGUCUGAGGCUGCUGUCAGAUGCGAGCGCGAGUUGGGUCAAAACGACUGGAAGCCCAGCCGAGUGAGGUGGGGGGAUCUGGUUCCCCUGCACAGAGGGAGUCCCCAGGUGGAAGCCAGCUUCCCUCCAAUAGGGCCGAGACGGGGGGAAGCGCUUCUGCCACGCGGCCACACCUGUGCCCACUGGGUGGCCCCCAGCAAAGCUGCAGUCUCAGACUCCUGGUCCCUUUCUCAUACUGCCCCAAACGCUGGGGGGAUUUAAUCCAAAUUUCACUUUCCCUGGCCACGCAGUCAGGUCUUUCCUAACAUUUAAAGGGUUAGAUGGGGGGAAAAUAAAAUCAAAACCAAGUUUUGGAAUUAAAUUUCCUCUGUAUCUUCAAUACGUUAUGACAGAAAUCCAGAAGGAGAAAAAAUAAUCAGGAGCAAACUUCUGUGGUGCUUUCCCACGUGCCCCAGUGAAGCCCGGCUUCCUCCUCCUCCCCACCAGAGCCGGGAAAGAUCUGAAUACUGCGAUUAUGACAUACUGCAGUGGAUACAUUUUCUUUUUUUAAGAUAAAAGUUUUAUUUCAGAGAGAAGCACAAAGCCCUCACUGUCAUGAACAAGCCUGGGCCUCGCCGGGACUCAAGGACCUUCCAGAAGG